rnacentral:rRNA from 1 species
ACGGCUGCUCAGUAACACGUAGUCAACUUACCCUAUGGACGAGGAUAAUCUCGGGAAACUGAGCAUAAUACUCGAUAGAUCAUAAUGCCUGGAACGGUUUAUGGCUGAAAUGAUUCGUCGCCAUAGGAUAGGACCGCGGCCUAUCAGCUUGUUGGUGAGGUAAUGGCCCACCAAGGCGAUUACAGGUACGGGCUCUGAGAGGAGAAGCCCGGAGAUGGGUACUGAGACAAGGACCCAGGCCCUAUGGGGCGCAGCAGGCGAGAAAACUUUGCAAUGUGCGAAAGCACGACAAGGUUAAUCCGAGUGAUUUCUGCUAAAGAAAUCUUUUGCAAGUCAUAAAACCACUAGUGAAUAAGGGGUGGGCAAGUUCUGGUGUCAGCCGCCGCGGUAAAACCAGCACCUCAAGUGGUCAGGAGGAUUAUUGGGCCUAAAGCAUCCGUAGCCGGCUCUGUAAGUUUUCGGUUAAAUCCAUGUGCUCAACGCAUGGGCUGUCGAAAAUACUGCAUAGCUAGGGAGUGGGAGAGGUAGACGGUACUCGGUAGGAAGGGGUAAAAUCCUUUGAUCUAUCGAUGACCACCUGUGGCGAAGGCGGUCUACCAGAACACGUUCGACGGUGAGGGAUGAAAGCUGGGGGAGCAAACCGGAUUAGAUACCCGGGUAGUCCCAGCUGUAAACGAUGCAGACUCGAUGAUGCAUUGGCAUAUAGCCAGUGCAGUGUUGCAGGGAAGCCGUUAAGUCUGCCGCCUGGGAAGUACGUACGCAAGUAUGAUACUUAAAGGAAUUGGCGGGGGAGCAG